AGAGUCGGCCAGGCAAUCGCUGGAUUCGCGAGAAUCCGGAGGAAAGUCCGGGCUCCACAGGGCAGGGCGCCAGGUAACGCCUGGAGGGUGUGAACCCAUGGAAAGUGCCACAGAAAAUAUACCGCCUAAGCGCCUGGCGCCGGUAAGGGUGAAAUGGUGCGGUAAGAGCGCACCGCGCGCGUGGCAACACGUCGCGGCACGGUAAACCCCGCCUGGAGCAAGACCAAAUAGGGGAGUACGCAGGCUUCACCGCCUGCACCGCGUGCCUGAGCGGACUCCCGGGUAGGUUGCUAGAGGCAGUCGGCGACGACUGUCCCAGAUGAAUGAUUGUCCACGACAGAACCCGGCUUACGGCCGGCUCACACU
rnacentral:RNase_P_RNA from 1 species